AGCUCUCUGCUAAAGGUUUACUGAAGUAUAGAGGGUGAAUUCUGCCCAAUGGUUGUAUAGUGAAACUGAGGACUAACGUCUAAAGCGAAGCCCAACUGAAUGGCCGCGGUAACUCUGACCGUGAUAAUGUAGCACAAUAAAUAGCCAAUUAAUUGUUGGCGGGUAUGAAUGGAACCACGAGGGUCUUACUGUCUCAAGAGGAAAGCCGAUGAAAUUAUAAUUGUAGUGAAGAUACUACAUAAACAUUGUAAGACGAAAAGACCCUAUCGAGCUUUACUGGAUACCGAUAGCGUUAAUUUAGAAUGAUCGAUACUAAGUAUCCUAAUUCUAAGUUAAUAAUUUUUGUUGGUAGGACAGUUUAGUUGGGGCGACUACCUUUGAAUAAGAAACGAAGGCGAGCUUAUGGUAUUAAUAAAAUCUCAUUAGCCUCACAGUGAGGGGGACACCCCUAGCUGGCACAAGGACCCGCGCACAGCGGGGGUUCCUAUGUGGGCGAUAGUGACCCGAUAUUAUUAUCCAAAAUAAAUAUCGAAAGCGGAUAAAAGCUACCGUAGGGAUAACAGCGUAAUAUUGUCGGAGAGUUCUUAUCGAGGACAGUGUUUGCGACCUCGAUGUUGAAUUGCGGUGCCCUGGUGCUGUAGAAGGUACCUUAGGUUGGUCUGUUCGACCAUGAAAACCGU
rnacentral:rRNA from 1 species